rnacentral:rRNA from 1 species
GAUGAACGCUGGCGGCGUGCCUAAUACAUGCAAGUCGAGCGAACAGACGAGGAGCUUGCUCCUCUGACGUUAGCGGCGGACGGGUGAGUAACACGUGGAUAACCUACCUAUAAGACUGGGAUAACUUCGGGAAACCGGAGCUAAUACCGGAUAACAUGUUGAACCGCAUGGUUCAACAGUGAAAGACGGUCUUGCUGUCACUUAUAGAUGGAUCCGCGCCGCAUUAGCUAGUUGGUAAGGUAACGGCUUACCAAGGCAACGAUGCGUAGCCGACCUGAGAGGGUGAUCGGCCACACUGGAACUGAGACACGGUCCAGACUCCUACCGGAGGCAGCAGUAGGGAAUCUUCCGCAAUGGGCGAAAUCCUGACGGAGCAACGCCGCGUGAGUGAAGAAGGUCUUCGGAUCGUAAAACUCUGUUAUUAGGGAAGAACAAAUGUGUAAGUAACUAUGCACGUCUUGACGGUACCUAAUCAGAAAGCCACGGCUAACUACGUG